rnacentral:rRNA from 1 species
CCCCMMCCCCGUGGUUUACUGUACCUUAGUUGCUUCGGCGGGCCCGCCAUUCAUGGCCGCCGGGGGCUCUCAGCCCCGGGCCCGCGCCCGCCGGAGACACCACGAACUCUGUCUGAUCUAGUGAAGUCUGAGUUGAUUGUAUCGCAAUCAGUUAAAACUUUCAACAAUGGAUCUCUUGGUUCCGGCAUCGAUGAAGAACGCAGCGAAAUGCGAUAACUAGUGUGAAUUGCAGAAUUCCGUGAAUCAUCGAGUCUUUGAACGCACAUUGCGCCCCCUGGUAUUCCGGGGGGCAUGCCUGUCCGAGCGUCAUUGCUGCCCAUCAAGCACGGCUUGUGUGUUGGGUCGUCGUCCCCUCUCCGGGGGGGACGGGCCCCAAAGGCAGCGGCGGCACCGCGUCCGAUCCUCGAGCGUAUGGGGCUUUGUCACCCGCUCUGUAGGCCCGGCCGGCGCUUGCCGAACGCAAAUCAAUCUUUUUCCAGGUUGACCWCGGAUCAGGUAGGGAUACCCGCUGAACUUAAGCAUAUCAAUAAGCCGGARGAA